rnacentral:tRNA from 1 species
GGGCCGUUAACUCAGUCGGUAGAGUAUCUGCCUUUUAAGCAGAGAGUCACUGGUUCAAGUCCAGUACGGCCCA